rnacentral:rRNA from 1 species
CCCUUAGAUGUUCUGGGCCGCACGCGCGCUACACUGAUGAAUUCAACGAGCUCCUAACCUAGGCCGAAGGGUCCGGGUAAUCUUUGAAAUUUCAUCGUGAUGGGGAUAGAUUAUUGCAAUUAUUAAUCUUCAACGAGGAGUUCCUAGUAAGCGCGAGUCAUCAGCUCGCGUUGAUUACGUCCCUGCCCUUUGUACACACCGCCCGUCGCUCCUACCGAUUGAAUGGUCCGGUGAAAUGUUCGGACCGCGACAAGGCGGACGGUUCGCUGUCAGCUUUGCUGCGGGAAGUUCAUUAAACCUUAUCAUUUAGAGGAAGGAGAAGUCGUAACA